UCUCCCUCUCUCGCUCUUUUUCGGCACUGCUUUAUUUCGUUCUAUUAGCUGGUGUUCAUAUUCAGCGUGUCUGCGUUUAUCUCCACCAUUGCUGCAGAGCGAAACAUAGAGUCGUUGUCCCCCUCAACUCCCCUGUUUGCACUUUUGGGUUCAGUAAACGGCGGGAUAAAAGGCAUGCUGAAGUGAGUUGGUCAGACAGGCCUUGCCAAACCCACAGGCUGUUCUGCUGCUUUGCUACCGCUGUGGUGUUUUGAUGUGCGCUACUGUGCAGAUGCAGUUUUUGGGCGAUCACCAACAAGCUACCGUACACGAGGAGACUCUGGUAAAGUAAGGGAUAUCUUUCAAG